UAUAUAUAUCAAAUACAAGUGCACAAGCUCGCUGGUUCCCUUGUUUUUGAAGGGCCAAUCUUCCUCACUGCUUUCAAUUGUUGACACAUCGUGUUACUGGAAGCUUCAAUCUGAAGGUUAAUGUGUUGGUAAAGCUUUACAAAUGUUUGUCUUCUUUUCCAAGGGAACAUAUGGGUUGGCACAGAAGUGGAUCAGCUCCAUUUACUCGAGUCUCUGGAAUCAGCUGAUUUGCUUGUGAAGAAUGUCAUGCACUAGUUUGCUUCAAGAAAUGCCAAUUACUCCAUCAUUGAUGAGACUCGAAUGACAAUACCCACUUUAUUGCUUGUGAUAUGCCUGUGUUUGCACAUGCUCAGCGCAGCCAAAGUUGAGAUUCAUUGUAAAAUUGGUAUAUUUAAACAAAAAAAAAGAAGAAAAUGUUACAUGUAUGGGUUGAAUAAUUAUGCACAGAGCUAGCUGAUAUAUCAGACAUCUCCUCGGUCGUUGGAAAGAUGUGGUUUGCAGUGAAAAGAAGAAUUAUCCUUGUAAUCCUUUGAGAGAACCAUCCAAAUGAUUUGGCCUCAAAAUACAUGAGCCGUCCUAUGAGAGGCAAAUAAUUGAGUUAAAAAGU